AGCGAACGCUGGCGGCAGGCCUAACACAUGCAAGUCGAACGGAUCCUUCGGGAUUAGUGGCGGACGGGUGAGUAACACGUGGGAACGUGCCUUUUGGUUCGGAACAACUCAGGGAAACUUGAGCUAAUACCGAAUGUGCCCUUCGGGGGAAAGAUUUAUCGCCAUUAGAGCGGCCCGCGUCUGAUUAGCUUGUUGGUGAGGUAAAGGCUCACCAAGGCUACGAUCAGUAGCUGGUCUGAGAGGAUGAUCAGCCACAUUGGGACUGAGACACGGCCCAAACUCCUACGGGAGGCAGCAGUGGGGAAUCUUGCGCAAUGGGCGAAAGCCUGACGCAGCCAUGCCGCGUGAAUGAUGAAGGUCUUAGGAUUGUAAAAUUCUUUCACCGGGGACGAUAAUGACGGUACCCGGAGAAGAAGCCCCGGCUAACUUCGUGCCAGCAGCCGCCGUAAUAC
rnacentral:rRNA from 1 species